UGAAUUCUGAUUUAUUCGACA
rnacentral:piRNA from 1 species